rnacentral:rRNA from 1 species
AGAGUUUGAUCCUGGCUCAGGAUGAACGCUGGCGGCGUGCUUAACACAUGCAAGUCGAACGGAAAGGCCUGUACUUGUACAGGUACUCGAGUGGCGAACGGGUGAGUAACACGUGGGUGAUCUGCCCUGCACUAUGGGAUAAGCUUGGGAAACUGGGUCUAAUACCAUAUAGGACCACUUCUUGGAUGUUGUGGUGGAAAGCUUUUGCGGUGUGGGAUGAGCCUGCGGCCUAUCAGCUUGUUGGUGGGGUAAUGGCCUACCAAGGCGGCGACGGGUAUCCGGCCUGAGAGGGUGUACGGACACAUUGGGACUGAGAUACGGCCCAGACUCCUACGGGAGGCAGCAGUGGGGAAUAUUGCACAAUGGGCGCAAGCCUGAUGCAGCGACGCCGCGUGGGGGAUGACGGCCUUCGGGUUGUAAACUCCUUUCGCUAUCGACGAAGCCACCUUUGGUGGUGACGGUAGGUAGAUAAGAAGCACCGGCUAACUACGUG